UCCUGCCUGAUGAUGCGCAGAAGAUGUCCCCUGACUGGGACCUGGCGAUGCUGGUACAGAUGCCGAAGAUGGCGCUGGCGCUGAACCUCUCGGGCAGUCCGACUGGAAGUGGCCCUCCUAGCCACACAAGAAACACCUGCCCCGGCUGCGUGAACACUAUCGCGGGUAGUGGGGACCACCACAGAUCACGCAGCGGGGAGCCUGGCGACGAUCGGGUCCUCCUCGCUGAGUAGACGAGCCACGUCCUCGCGACUGGCUCCGGCUCCUGGGGUGCCUUGGCGGCCUCCGUGAGUGCGUCUGACUCGCACCCUCAGCCGCUGGCCUCUUUCCCUUCCCCUUCUCCGAGCUCUCGUGACGCUCCUGAAGAUCUGCCGCUCCAGCCUCCACAAUCAAUGCUCGAUCCACAACCUCUCGAUAGGUCUGGAGGUUGGAAGACUGCACCAACCGGAAGAUAGAAGGUCGUAAUCCGCGCUCAAAUAUGGCGUCCUUG
rnacentral:lncRNA from 1 species